rnacentral:rRNA from 1 species
AGUGAACGCUGGCGGUAGGCCUAACACAUGCAAGUCGAACGGCAGCACAGUAAGAGCUUGCUCUUACGGGUGGCGAGUGGCGGACGGGUGAGGAAUACAUCGGAAUCUACUUUUUCGUGGGGGAUAACGUAGGGAAACUUACGCUAAUACCGCAUACGACCUACGGGUGAAAGCAGGGGAUCUUCGGACCUUGCGCGAUUGAAUGAGCCGAUGUCGGAUUAGCUAGUUGGCGGGGUAAAGGCCCACCAAGGCGACGAUCCGUAGCUGGUCUGAGAGGAUGACCGCCCACACGGGAACUGAGACACGGCCCCGCCCCCUGCGGGAGGCGCCAGGGGGGAAUAUUGAACAUGGGCCGCAGUCUUGACCCACCCACCCCGGGGGGGUGAAGAAGGCCUUGGGUUUCAAAACCCUUUUUGUUGAAAAAAAAAAGCAGCGGUUUAAUCCCCCGCUGUCCUGGCGGUACCCAAAAAAUAAACCCCGCCUAAUUUCGUG